GCUCAGAUUGAACGCUGGCGGCAUGCUUUACACAUGCAAGUCGAACGGCAGCACGAAAGAGCUUGCUCUUUUGGUGGCGAGUGGCGAACGGGUGAGUAAUACAUUGGAACGUACCGAGUAAUGGGGGAUAACUGUCCGAAAGGAUGGCUAAUACCGCAUACGCUCUGAGGAGGAAAGCGGGGGACCUUCGGGCCUCGCGUUAUUCGAGCGGCCAAUGUCUGAUUAGCUAGUUGGUGGGGUAAAGGCCUACCAAGGCGACGAUCAGUAGUGGGUCUGAGAGGAUGAUCCGCCACACUGGGACUGAGACACGGCCCAGACUCCUACGGGAGGCAGCAGUGGGGAAUUUUGGACAAUGGGCGAAAGCCUGAUCCAGCCAUGCCGCGUGUCUGAAGAAGGCCUUCGGGUUGUAAAGGACUUUUGUCAGGGAAAGAAAAAGGGUUUGGGUU
rnacentral:rRNA from 1 species